UUUCCGUAGGUGAACCUGCGGAAGGAUCAUUAUAAAUGAAAAACGAAUAACUUCAGGGAAGAAGGGAACCUGCACGGUGACCUCCCCUGUCGGGCCACCCAAUACCUUCAAAAUGCCGCCGUCCUAGCGGUGGCAGACGAAAAAAAAACAAGAAAAACAAAAUAGAAACAGGCACGGUGGCCCGUUCACCUUCACACAACCCUCCGAGUACCGCUUCCAUGUUGCUUCCCCGCAAAACCACCUCUUUGGUGAGCGCGGGGGAGGUCCGCAUCAUAUUCACCUGAAUGUCACAGCAGUCAGACAGCCAUUCAUGGAAACAAUAAAACUUUCAACAACGGAUCUCUUGGUUCCC
rnacentral:misc_RNA from 1 species